rnacentral:ncRNA from 2 species
UAAAUAGCACAGGGGUGUUGGAUGAUAGCCAACUGAGAGUAAGAACUAAAUUUCUUUAACCCUAGUACCUGAACUGGAUAAUGCCAGCGUAGGAAGUGUUUUGUUUAAUAGU